CAGUAGCCACGGUAUACGAAGGGUGCAAGCGUUAAUCGGAAUUACUGGGCGUAAAGCGUGCGUAGGCGGUUUGUUAAGUCUGUUGUGAAAUCCCCGGGCUCAACCUGGGAAUGGCAAUGGAUACUGGCAAGCUAGAGUGUGUCAGAGGAUGGUGGAAUUCCCGGUGUAGCGGUGAAAUGCGUAGAGAUCGGGAGGAACAUCAGUGGCGAAGGCGGCCAUCUGGGACAACACUGACGCUGAGGCACGAAAGCGUGGGGAGCAAACAGGAUUAGAUACCCCCGUAGUCCCUGUCUCUUAUACA
rnacentral:rRNA from 1 species